rnacentral:rRNA from 1 species
ACGCACGCUGGCGGCGUGCUUCACACGUGCAAGUCGAACGGAAAGGCCCUGCUUUUGUGGGGUGCUCGAGUGGCGAACGGGUGAGUAACACGUGAGUAACCUGCCCUUGACUUUGGGAUAACUUCAGGAAACUGGGGCUAAUACCGGAUAGGAGCUCCUGCUGCAUGGUGGGGGUUGGAAAGUUUCGGCGGUUGGGGAUGGACUCGCGGCUUAUCAGCUUGUUGGUGGGGUAGUGGCUUACCAAGGCUUUGACGAGUAGCCGGCCUGAGAGGGUGACCGGCCACAUUGGGACUGAGAUACGGCCCAGACUCCUACGGGAGGCAGCAGUGGGGAAUAUUGCACAAUGGGCGGAAGCCUGAUGCAGCAACGCCGCGUGCGGGAUGACGGCCUUCGGGUUGUAAACCGCUUUCGCCUGUGACGAAGCGUGAGUGACGGUAAUGGGUAAAGAAGCACCGGCUAACUACGUG